CUAGAUUUAAACUCGAGUUAUUAUAAAAAGAACUACGGAAUAAAUUAUUCACGACCAUUUGAAACCGAUUUUAACCAUAAUUAUUAUGUUCGAAAAAUGGUUAGACUAUCUCAAAUUAGCCGACUACUUCUCUUGAUCCUAACCAAUAAAUUUGUUGAAAUUGCUACAACUGAAAAUGCUAAGUAAGUACUUAUGUAAUUAAACGUUCUUCCUUUUCAAUUUGGAUCAUGAGUAGCUUUUAUCAACUAAAAAUUGUCACACCAUACCUUACUUUAUUAGUAACCACAAACUAAGCCAUAUUAAGGUUAUUAAAAAAUUAAAACCUUUGAAUUUCCCAGUAAUAACUAUUAAACGAUAAUCACAAGUUUUUAACAACUAUCUUAAUAUACUACUUGGCAAACUAAACUGAAAAUAAAGAACUCGGUUUACUACGCCAUCAAAAUUUAAACUAAGCACGUUAGAAUUUCAUUAUUCUAAUCUAUUGUAAAUAGAAAAGUGGCCAAUUAUACAGUUCUAUGGCAAAAUAUCACAUGAUGAUAUGGUACAGAACAACCUAAAUAACUGAAAGAAACUAGAUCAAACUUAUAACUUCAACUCUUCAUCUUUUACAUUCAUGCUUCAAUAUAUCAACUUACAAGAGGUACCAGAUAUGUACCUGAUAGGGAAAGCAAAGGAAGAAGAGGAAAAUCAGUAGAAGCAGCAGCAGUGUAAGCAGUAACACAGCAGAUUCACCAACAAUAACAACCAAUAACCGGCAGCCCAAAACUCAGGAAUGCAACCAGAAAUACCAAGCAAAUCCAGGGACAAUAGACGGCCAACCAACACGCCAGAAAUACAGGAAAGAAACCAGAAAUACCACCAGCAAUCUCUGACAGAAACAGAAUGUAUCUAAAAAAGAUACAAGACAAAGAUUUUCUGAUUUUUUGUUCUUUCACACUCAAGAUAGAAACUCUCAAACUACUGACUUCCUACGAUUUUUAAAAUCAGUCAUAUUCUUUCAAUCCCCAACUUUCAAGAUUAAAAUCUGUUUUUUUUCUCUUUUUUCCUGAAAAUCUGAUCUUCUCUCCUUUGGACUCUCUUUUCAGAAUGUUUCCCCUGCCUCUGCCUUUAUUCAGUCUUUAAGUAGACCAUUCCAGUUAAUGCAUUCCCAUUACUAUCUUCUUUUUCCCUUUUUCAGUUACCCAUUACACUAGUACCUUUUUUUAAUCAGUAGUGCCAAUUUAAGUACUUAAAAUUGGUGUUAGUGCAUUCUCCACUACUAAUUGUCUUUAAUCUUUUAUCAAUCCAACUACUUAGUGCUUAUUAAAAAUUCAGUUAGUGCACCUUAAAUCAAUAUCAGUAGUGCACCACUUAGCAAUUAGCAGCCUCCUACUUAAUUACGCAAGCACUAGCCUUAUUAACCCCUAUACUACCCCUUAAGAUCCUAAUUAUUCAAAUAGAAAUUCUGAAAAUCCUAACAUUUAUAAGCUCCACAAUUCUCUAAAACGGAAUUCCUAGGCUAGCAGAACCAAAUGGCGUCAAUUUUCCGAAAAAAUGGAAUUAGAAAAUAUCUCACACAUGAACAAUCUGAAUUGAGAUCAAUGAAUGAACCUAUUUGAUAUUCAACCUUUGACACAAUCAACAUAAGGAAGAUUUAAAGGAAACGGUAGCAUAUAUAUAUCUCAUAUUAUACUAGAUUUCAGUAGAAAAAAUUCAACAGGAAAAAACAAUCAGACCCGAAAAAUGUAACUCCAACAAGAUUUUAGAAAGCUCCACUCAACGCAACAUGAAUUGGUUCAAAAAUUGACCUCAUUCCUAGAAAUUAAUACUGAUUUUAGCUCGUCUUGCUCAAAUUAGCCUCAUGAAUCAGUUAAGAGAAUACAGUAAAGAAGACUCGAAAUAACAACCAUCCAAGCAUCAAAUUAUUGAUGGUCGGGGUAUUCAACAAGAGUAAUUUAACAAACGAGACCAAGCACACAAACCAAAAGCUCGACUAAUAAAUCAAAAUAGAGACAGAUGUUGUUGAUAUGAACCUGAUAUUGAACUUCAAUUAAUGAAAAUUUUGUAGUAACACGAGGAGAAAUCAAAGCAGUAGUUUUGACGACACGACGAUCAAACUACGAACAACAUUCACGAUCCGAACCACAAACGGACCUUGACAAGACCGGAACUCCAAACCAUAUUCGAACAACUAACUCACUAUUCAGCAGUCGAACCCAAAAAAUCAUUUAUCUGCCUUCCUCCGAUCUCUGUUUUGUGUGUGCAUGUGGUUAUGUCAGUGUUUUCCGGCGAUAAGGAGAUAUAACUGUACGUGUGUGUGGGUGGUGAGGAGCGGCGACGCUGGUGGUGUUGAGGGUGGUCGUUGCUGGAGACAGAGGAGCAGAUGGUCGUUGGGGAAGGGGACGACGACGGGAGGCAGUGGGGUGGUCAUUUCGCUGGUGAGAGGGGGGUCGUUUGGGGGUGGUGUGGUUUGAGGAAGAAGGGAAGAGGGGGGAGGGGGCGGGUCUCUUGGCUUGGGGUUAGGAAAAAUGAAAAAUGAGAG
rnacentral:lncRNA from 1 species